UUGGACAAUGAAAUUGUAGGAAAGGUUACACCUAGGAAAAACCCAAAUACAACUCCAAUAAAAGUAGUCACAAAAAGCCUCAUCUUUUCAUUCCGUUUUCUUGUGUUAGAGCUGUGGAAAUUCAGCAGUAAAUAAAUGGAUUAACCAAUCAAUUACGCCUCAAUAUGCUUAUAUGAAUAAUUUGUGUCAAUUUAAAAACCUGCGUUUCAUAGGCGUCCCCAUCUUAGUCCCAAGCUCACAAUCCUUUUCAGAAUCAGAAAAGGACUAACAUCUGCUUAGCCCAAAUAUGAGUUGAGAGAUUCCCUAAAACCAGAAAGCAAAAAAGAUCAGUACUUUGCAAUUACUAAACACUUUUGAGUAAAGUUUCCAUUUUUUCCACUCCUUAUACCUCAAAGAUUUACUAUUAAUUACUUAACUUGGUCUACACUAGUCAUUCAAAUUUCCUAAAAGACAAAUAAUUGCAAUCUUGGAUGUGAAGAGAGAAAAGUUCAAAUCUUGAAUCGCAC
rnacentral:lncRNA from 1 species